GAUGAAGAACGUAGUGAAAUGCGAUAAGUAAUGUGAAUUGCAGAAUUCAGUGAAUCAUCGAAUCUUUGAACGCACAUUGCGCCCGCCAGUAUUCUGGCGGGCAUGCCUGUUCGAGCGUCAUUUCAACCAUCAAGCCCCCGGGCUUGUGUUGGAGACCUGCGGCUGCCGCAGGCCCUGAAAAGCAGUGGCGGGCUCGCUGUCACACCGAGCGUAGUAGAUUUUAUCUCGCUCUGGGCGUGCUGCGGGUUCCGGCCGUUAAACCACCCUUUUAACCCAAGGUUGACCUCGGAUCAGGUAGGAAGACCCGCUGAACUUAAGCAUAUCAAUAAGCGGAGGA
rnacentral:misc_RNA from 1 species